rnacentral:misc_RNA from 1 species
UAUAGUUCACAGAUUAUAUAAUUUCUUUAUUUUGCUGAAAACGAUGAGUUUUGUGUCCGACGAACUUGCGAAUGUUUUAAAAUCGGUAUACAGGAUGGAGGAGGGUAGUGAAAAUAACGGAGAUGAAGAGUCCUCUUCUAAUGUAGACAAAAAGAGUGAGGAGGUUUCGAAAGAGAAACGCUCUAGAAAACAUAAGCACAAGAAACACUCAAAGUCGAAGUCAAAGGACAAGAAAAAGCACAAAAAACGAAAACAUAAGUCAAGAUCACGCUCACAGUCUCGAUCGAAAUCACGGACACCAGAUGAAAUUGAGGCCGAUUUUGUUCUUAAGAAAGACAAAAAUCUUGACACCGAGGAAAAGGAUAGAGAACUGGCCUCACAGAAUGGCACUGCUGGGUAUGGUAACGCUGUUCAACCAGCGCAGACCAACUGUGAUGAAAAGCCUAUCCAGGAUGUUCAUGGAUCUAAACCUUCAGAUUCCAAAGAAGAAAAGUCAGAGAGUUAUUUUAAAAGUAUUAGGUUAGAGAAUGAUAAAAAUGACUUGAUAUCUACUCCAGUUGCUGCAAAAAUAGGCCCGGAGAGAGAUUUUAACAGUAAUUGUUCAGGGAGUGAUGCAGAAGAUUUGGAGAACAAAAAGAGUACUUCAUCUUCUAGGAGUAAGUCAAAGUCCCCAGAGUCUAAAUUGUCUGGAAAUAACAAGGAGAGAGACUCAAGAUCCCAUUCCAAUGAUAGAGAGACUAAAAGGAAAUCCGGCUCACAAUCAAGUUCUAAGCAGUCUGCAAAGAAGAAGAAGCCAAGGUCACGGUCACAUUCAAGGAGCAGAACAUCCAAAAAGAGAUCAAGGUCAAGGUCACACUCAAAAAGGAAUCGCCACAGAAGAACUGAAUCCAAGUCAAGUUCACGUUCCCAUUCAUACAACAGUAGGUCAAGAUCAAGGUCCCCAAGACGAAGAAAAAGAUCAUUCUCUAGGUCACCAAGACGUAAAAGAUCACUUUCCAGGUCACGCCAUAAAUCUCCUGUAUUUAAAAGCUUUAGAGGGGUUUCUCCACCUUCCUGGAAAAAAAAUGUAGGAUCUCUCAGGAGACAAAGGUCAAGAUCAUACUCUAGAUCUGGUAGGUCACCUCCAAGGAGAAGGAGUUCUCCAAGAAGGAAACAGUCACGUUCAAGAUCAAGAGGAAGAAGGUCACACUCUAGAUCAAGAACUAGAACCCCAAGGAAGAGGACACGAUCCUUGUCUAGGGACAGGAGACAUCAUAGAUCCAGAUCAAGGUCACACUCAAGAGGAAGAGGUCAAAGAUCAGCAUCUAGAGAAAGAAGGAGGAGUAAGAGUAGUAGAUCUCGGUCAAAAUCAAAGGAAAAAACACAACCAAGGAAUCCUUCAUCAGUACCCAAUGUGCCAGUAACAGAUAAAAUAUCUACUUUGAUUGACAAACCAGUCGCAAGUGAUCUUUCUGCACAGCAGACAAAAGUUGCACAGAGGGCUGGAGGGAAAACUAUUGCGGAGCUUACUGCUUUCUGUAAAAAGCUACAGGAUGAAAAGGAGAGUAUAGACAGUGGUAACACAAGUGUAACAACUUUAGAAAAGAAAGAAGAUUCUCAGCCAGUGGCACACCAUCCAUUUUUAAUUAAAGAAAAGCCAGAUAUCACAAUACCACCUGUUAUCUUUCCAGUGAACAAGCCUAUGGUCCCACAAGUAGGGUCAUCCAAACCUCUGCAGGAGCAGUUUCCUGUGUCUUGUGGAAGUAAACACAGAGAAAAAGAGGGUGUCAAUGAUGGGGCUGAAAUGGUUGCCAACAUAGAUGGCUCUGCAAUUCAGACGCAACCAAAAGUAGAAGUAUUUCCUCAACCUUCUGCUGAGAAACUGGACAUCAGUGACCUUGUUACUAAGCGAAUGGAUGCACAAAGGCGGCUGCAGACUGACCCUAAUGACAUUGAGGCCCUGUUGGUUCUCCAGGAGAUUCAAAUGAAGAUGCAGAAUUGGUGCCAAUCAAAUGUUAAGCCAGGCCAGUUUACUGGAGAGCUUGUGAAGAAUCUUUUGCCAAAGGAAGAUUUGCAAGGAGGCUUCCAGGCAUGGGCCAAAAAGGACAUGUUUCACAACCUCUCACCAGUUUCUGGUGGUAUCGGCAUGAAGCUUCUCCAAAAAAUGGGAUGGAAACCUGGACAAGUGAUUGGUAAAAGAGGAGAAGGUUACGCUGAACCUAUCGCUCUUACUGUCAAAAUUGAUAGGAAAGGUCUCAGUGCUGGAAAGGAAAAGGCUACCAAGAAAGGUGCUCCUACUGUUCUGGACCUGCAAGCAGUAAAAGGCAUCGACCCCUUUGAAAUGAAGCCUACAUACAAGCAAUUCAAUAUGCAAUGCCUCUUGAUCCGAUGUUGAGAAUUUUAGCACCACAAGGAGAUUGUACCAUCAAAUGAUGAUCACACAAAGACUUAUUUUUGAUGACAUCAGGAAAGCAUCCUGUGUCUGCCCUGGCUGAGUAUUGCAGUAAGAGAAAAUGGCAACUGCCCGACUACACUUUAGUCUUUGAUCAUGGCCCUGCACACCAUAAACAGUUUCUGUUUAAAGUUUUAGUGAACAGUGUA